rnacentral:lncRNA from 1 species
GACAAUGUCUGAGCGGCUGGCCGAGAACACGCACGACAUCUAGGCAAAGAAAAUGAAGGAGGAGCUGGACGCUAUCGGUGGUGGCAUACAUGCACAGCUGGUGCCAUAUGACCUGCUCACUGACCGGGAGAAGCACGAAAACCGAGACCGUGCGCAAGAGUUCCUCAAGUUUCUUCAGUAUGAGGGCUACCGUGUUUCAAGGCAAGCCCUGCGUCGCCGUGAACGGGGAGGUGCCCCGAGCGAGGAGCUGCAAGCCCCCAGGCAAGGCCAGG